ensembl:snRNA U6 U6 spliceosomal RNA
CCAUUAGCUUCUGAAGUACAUACACUAAAACUGGAAUGACACAGAAAAUAUUAGCAUGGCUCCUAAACAAGGAUAAUGGGCAAUUUCAUCAAAUGUUGCAUUAAAUA